GUAGGUGGUUUGNUGCGUCGUCUGUGAAAUUCCGGGGCUUAACUUCGGGGUGGCAGGCGAUACGGGCAUAACUAGAGUGCUGUAGGGGAGACUGGAAUUCCUGGUGUAGCGGUGGAAUGCGCAGAUNUCAGGAGGAACACCGAUGGCGAAGGCAGGUCUCUGGGCAGUAACUGACGCUGAGGAGCGAAAGCAUGGGGAGCGAACAGGAUUAGAUACCCUGGUAGUCCAUGCUGUAAACGGUGGGCGUUAGGUGUGGGGACCGGUUUGGUUUCUGUGCCGUAGCUAACGCAUUAAGCGCCCCGCCUGGGGAGUACGGCCGCAAGGCUAAAACUCAAAGGAAUUGACGGGGGCCCGCACAAGCGGCGGAGCAUGUGGAUUAAUUCGAUGCAACGCGAAGAACCUUACCUGGGUUUGACAUGCACCAGACGGUUGUAGAGAUACGUACCUCCCUUUGUGGUUGGUGUGCAGGUGGUGCAUGGUUGUCGUCAGCUCGUGUCGUGAGAUGUUGGGUUAAGUCCCGCAACGAGCGCAACCCUUGUCUUAUGUUGCCAGCACUUUGGGUGGGGACUCAUGAGAGACUGCCGGGGUUAACUCGGAGGAAGGUGGGGAUGACGUCAAAUCAUCAUGCCCUUUAUGCCCAGGGCUUCACACAUGCUACAAUGGUUAGUACAACGCGCUGCGAGCCUGUGAGGGUGAGCGAAUCGCUGAAAGCUAAUCUCAGUUCGGAUUGGGGUCUGCAACUCGACCCCAUGAAGUCGGAGUUGCUAGUAAUCGCAGAUCAGCAAUGCUGCGGUGAAUACGUUCCCGGGCCUUGUACACACCGCCCGUCACGUCAUGAAAGUUGGUAACACCCGAAGCCC
rnacentral:rRNA from 1 species